rnacentral:hammerhead_ribozyme from 1 species
AUUUAGAUGACGAGUCCCAAAUAGGGCCAAAAUGCACAUCCUGGAU